UACGUAGGCAGCAAGCGUUGUUCGGAGUUACUGGGCGUAAAGGGUGUGUAGGCGGUUGUUCAAGUUUGGUGUGAAAUCUCCCGGCUUAACUGGGAGGGUGCGCCGAAUACUGAAUGACUAGAGUGCGGGAGAGGAAAGUGGAAUUCCUGGUGUAGCGGUGAAAUGCGUAGAUAUCAGGAGGAACACCGGUGGUGUAGACGGCUUUCUGGACCGUAACUGACGCUGAGACACGAAAGCGUGGGUAGCAAACAGG
rnacentral:misc_RNA from 1 species